UACGAACCGUCCAAACGUUAUUCGGAUUUAUUGGGCUUAAAGGGUAUGUAGGCGGCCCUUCAAGUCGGGUGUGAAAGCCCUCGGCUCAACCGAGGAACUGCGCCCGAUACUGCAGGGCUUGAGGGAGACAGAGGUAAGCGGAACUGAUGGUGGAGCGGUGAAAUGCGUUGAUAUCAUCAGGAACACCAGUGGCGAAAGCGGCUUACUGGGUCUCUUCUGACGCUGAGAUACGAAAGCUAGGGGAGCGAACG
rnacentral:rRNA from 1 species